UACAGAGGUCUCAAGCGUUGUCCGGAAUUAUUGGGCGUAAAGGGCUCGUAGGCGGUCUGUCACGUCGGGAGUGAAAACUCAGGGCUUAACCCUGAGCCUGCUUCCGAUACGGGCAGACUAGAGGUAUGCAGGGGAGAACGGAAUUCCUGGUGUAGCGGUGAAAUGCGUAGAUAUCAGGAGGAAUACCGGUGGCGAAAGCGACUCUCUGGACGGCAACUGACGCUGAGGCACGAAAGCGUGGGGAGCAAACAGG
rnacentral:rRNA from 1 species